rnacentral:lncRNA from 1 species
AUUUUUAUGAUUGUUUCUUGAUGAUAUGCUAAAUAAGGGGUGGAAUUAUUCAUGAGUUUUCCAAGAAAGGGGUGGGCAAUUCUUGGAACUGAGGGUUUCUCCCCCUCUUAGACCAUAUAAGGUAAUGUCCUGACCCUGCCAUGGCAUUUGUAAACUGUCAUGGUGCAAUCCUCAGCAUUUUCCAUUUGAGGCAGCGUUGAGGAAAGUUUCAAGGGAGGAUGCUGAUUGCCUAGGAUUCUCAGCACUAGGGGCACCGGAGCCCAGAGCUGUACCAAAAAUGAUGCUGCUGUCUAUCAAAUCUCGGCUAAAAACUCUUUUGGAAUGAUCUGUUGUUCUGCUUCCGUUGAGGUUGAGUGCUCAUCAGAGAACCCACAAUUGUCUCCUAACCUGGAAGAUGACAGGGACAGGGGUUGGAAACAUGAAACAGGGACACAUGAAGAAGAAAGGGCAAAUCAGAUUGAUGAGAAGGAACAUCCUUAUAAGGAAGAAGAAAGCAUCUCCCCGGGCACUCCCAGGUCAGCUGACUCCUCCCCCUCCAAAUCCAACCAUUCACUC